rnacentral:rRNA from 1 species
UCGAGGAUCUUCGGCAAUGGGCGCAAGCCUGACCGAGCGACGCCGCGUGAGCGAUGAAGGCCUUCGGGUUGUAAAGCUCUUUAGUGGGGGAGAAAAGCCGCAAGGUGUGAUCUAUCCCAAAAAUAAGCACGGGCUAAGUUCGUGCCAGCAGCCGCGGUAAGACGAACCGUGCGAACGUUGUUCGGAAUCACUGGGCUUAAAGGGCGCGUAGGCGGGCUGUCAAGUCUGGGGUGAAAUCCCGCGGCUCAACCGUGGAACUGCCUCAGAUACUGACGGCCUCGAGGGAGGUAGGGGCAUGCGGAACUGUAGGUGGAGCGGUGAAAUGCGUUGAUAUCUACAGGAACUCCGGUGGCGAAGGCGGCGUGCUGGACCUCUUCUGACGCUGAGGCGCGAAAGCUAGGGGAGCAAACG